rnacentral:lncRNA from 1 species
CUCAAAACUGGCUUCCAACGGGACACAGACAUCAAAACAAAGAAGAGGGCCUCACGACAGGGUUGCCUUGCUUACUCAGCCCACAGCUCUCAAACCGUUGCGCGAGGAAGAGCACGCAGGAGAACAGGUGCAGGAGCCAGAGCAAGACAUUUAGGCACUGACGGGAACAAAACUCUGCAGCCCUGUGGCAGUGUCUAAGGAGGAUGCAUGCAUUAUUCUCCACGACUGAUACAGAAGUAAAUUCCAGAAAGCUUUAAAGUCAGUUUGUAUAAAGAGGUGAGAUACAACCCCAAAUCACAUGGCUCCAAGUCAGGGUUAUUUCUGUGGAGUCA